UUGCCAUCAUUCAGUUGGGCACUCUAGCGAGACUGCCGGUAAUAAACCGGAGGAAGGUGGGGAUGACGUCAAGUCCUCAUGGCCCUUAUGGGUAGGGCUUCACACGUCAUACAAUGGUCGGUACAGAGGGUUGCCAAGCCGCGAGGUGGAGCCAAUCCCUUAAAGCCGAUCGUAGUCCGGAUCGUAGUCUGCAACUCGACUACGUGAAGUCGGAAUCGCUAGUAAUCGCAGAUCAGCAUGCUGCGGUGAAUACGUUCCCGGGCCUU
rnacentral:rRNA from 1 species